AUGGAGAACACCUACGACUAUCUCUUCAAGCUGCUGCUCAUCGGCGACUCGGGCGUGGGCAAGACCUGCCUGCUCUUCCGCUUCACCGAGGACGACUUCAACAACACCUUCAUCUCCACCAUUGGAAUUGAUUUUAAAAUCAGAACAAUAGAACUAGAUGGGAAGAAAAUCAAGCUACAGAUAUGGGACACUGCAGGACAGGAAAGAUUUCGCACAAUCACGACCGCAUACUACAGAGGAGCCAUGGGAAUAAUGCUUGUAUAUGAUAUCACAAAUGAAAAGUCGUUUGACAACAUUGAAAACUGGAUAACGAACGUAAAAGAGCAUGCAUCUUCAGAUGUAGAAGGAAUGAUCCUGGGUAAUAAAUGUGAUAUGAAUGAGAAAAGGCAAGUUUCGAAAGAAAAGGGAGAAAAGCUAGCAAUUGAUUAUGGAAUCAAAUUUCUGGAGACAAGUGCAAAAUUGAGCAUAAAUGUGGAAGCGGCUUUCUUCACUCUUGCACGAGAUAUUAUGACAGAACUCAACAGAAAAAUGCUCUGCUGCAGAAUCUGGAGCAGACUGCAUUUUCCUCGGUGGCGAAGACGUUGACGGCUGGGUACCCCCAGCAUCGAAAGAGGUGUUCCCUGGUAUCAACGUCGAGCUCCCACUCGUGGUCGGUGUGGAAGGACCUGCUGAGUGAGUCCGCGAUGACAUUGUCCUUCCCUGCUACAUGAAUCACGGUAAGGUGGGCGCAGACAACUGCCAUCGUCUUCGUGAAGACCCUCAGCGCCGUCGAGAGUCCAAAAGGCAGGACGGUGAAUUGGAAUUGUUGAGUUCCAAUGGCAAAUCGCAGUACCAUGAAGAAAGAAUCAUGGUGGCCGGGGUUGGGGUUCCCACCAGAAGCAGGUGUAUGGGAUGAGUCACCACAGCUAAGGCAGCAGGCUAACAGAGCUUAGAACAUACAAAGCAGAGCUUAGCACCGAAGAAUAAAGUGUUUAUCUGCGUAGGAAGAGAGACGGUGUGGACUGUAAACAGGACAUUGACUGAGAGUUAAAAAUAGAUCCAUGCCGAACGUUAGAAAAUUGGGGGAAAAAAACCGGGGAAGGCUUCCUGGCAAAGAGUUCAUCCUUCUAAUCAUAAUUUGCCCCGUCUUGAGAAAGUGUCUGUAGAAAAAGUCUCACAAAGUAGUGGAAGCGAAAGUAACGGAUCUGUCGAGAUGGCGGAGGGAUCUGGCACGGUGCCAAUUUCAACUGUAUUGGAAGAAUUGAAGAAGCUGAUUCUGGACAGCACUGCAACAUUGAGCAAGAAGAUGGAUGUUAAUGAAAAAAAUGCAGCAGCAAGGAUGGGGGUGCUUGCAGAUAAGAUCGCGCAGAAUGACAGAGAUAUAAAGAAGCUGGAUGUGGAAGUAAAAGCACUUGUGAAAAAACAGGAUGUCUUUGAAAAAAGUUGUGAGGUGAAAUUUCAAGAUCAAGAUCUAAAGUUGAUCCAGCUUCAAGAUCAGGAUCGUCGUUGUAAUGUACGAAUUAAACAAUUUGUUGAAGAACCAGCAGAGGAGUUGAGAAAAAUAGUUUUGAAGUGGUUCAACGAUAUGAUGCCAGAUUUGGAUAUAAAAGACUGUGAUAUUGAAAGGAUCCAUAGAGUGGGAGGAGCAAAUUAUAGAGGAUCAACCAGAGACAUUCUUGUGAGAUUUGGCAGUUACUACAAAAAAGAGCAAGUGAUGAAGAAAUUGAGGUCUAUGAUCAUGAUUAAAUAUAAAGGCAAAGCAGUGCAAGUAUUCAACGAUCUUUGUCAGCAAACACUCCAAUGGAGACGCAGCGUUAAGCAAAUAACUGAAACGCUAACAAGAAAUACAGUGAGAUAUUCUUGGGGUUAUCCUGUUUUUCUAAAGUUUUCCUAUGCUGGGGGCCAACACAGAGUAACCUCGUUGGAGCAGGGCAAGGAGCUGCUGAAGAGUUUGGGGUUAUUUAAGGAUGCAAGUCUUGGAGCUGGAGCUGGGAAUGGAGCCAAACCGGGGGCGUCUGGGAUGGGGUAAAAUGGGAAUGGUUUAUGAGAUAAUAAUAUGUUAAGCAGUUAAAUAUAGAGAUCUUGCCGCUAGGGCGGGGCUCCGCCUCCCCCCUCCCCUAAGUUAGAUAAUGGCCGGAGUG